CCGAACAUGUCUGUGUCCAGGCAGAGGAAGAAGUUAGAGAGAGAAAAGAUGGGGUACUGAAGAUGUCAGCAGGGGCCUUCUUCAAAAUGUGCCUGUGCCAAAAGCCCAUAGAGAGUCAAGGAGUAGGUGUAAACAUGGAAAGGGAAGAUACAGAAGAGGAGAACCAAGGCUGGGGAGAAUGGAGGUGCCUGGACAUGGGAGUGUAGCUCCAUGCUACGCUGGACACUACUAAUUUGAAAGUCAAGCAAAACCAGUCAUCAAGAGGAUGAGCUCAGGUUGUAGGGGCUUUGAGGAUCUGCAGGUAAUUCCACCAGCAGGGACCGUUUCCCAACUGCUCUAUUCAAAUCAGCCCUCGGUAAUACCGACUGACUCAGAAGUCGGCUCGAGAAGAUUGCAUCUUGAUUUGAGCAGCUGUGUGUUAACAUCGCUCGAAAGGAAGG